rnacentral:rRNA from 1 species
UGGGGAAUAUUGCGCAAUGGAGGCAACUCUGACGCAGCCAUGCCGCGUGUGUGAAGAAGGCCCUCGGGUUGUAAAGCACUUUCAAUUGGGAGAAAAAGCUUGUCGUUAAUAGCGGCAAGCCUUGAUGUUACCUUUAGAAGAAGCACCGGCUAACUCCGUGCCAGCAGCCGCGGUAAUACGGAGGGUGCGAGCGUUAAUCGGAAUUACUGGGCGUAAAGCGCGCGUAGGCGGUUGCUUAAGUCGGAUGUGAAAGCCCCGGGCUCAACCUGGGAACUGCAUUCGAUACUGGGCGACUAGAGUACGAGAGAGGGAGGUAGAAUUCCACGUGUAGCGGUGAAAUGCGUAGAUAUGUGGAGGAAUACCGGUGGCGAAGGCGGCCUCCUGGCUCGAUACUGACGCUGAGGUGCGAAAAGCGUGGGGAGCAAAACAGGAUUAGAUACCCUGGUAGUCCACGCCGUAAACGAUGUCUACUAGCCGUUGGGGUACUUGAGACCUUAGUGGCGCAGCUAACGCACUAAGUAGACCGCCUGGGAGUACGGCC